AAAUGUUUACAUGACAAAAUGAAACAUAAGAAUGAAAGAGACAGAGAGAAACCAAGACAAAAUUAGCCAAAAUAGAGAAGAUUAAAAUUCGGAAAUCAAACACCCAAAUUCAGAAAUCCUAACAAACAAUUUAAAACUUGGAAGAGCACGUGUCUUGACAAAAAAGAGAUAGGAUUUGAAAUAAUAACCUGGUAAAUAGCUUGAACACUAUCCCUCCUAUACGAAUUUAAAUCUUCUCUCUUUCUGAGUUUGAACACUACCUCCUUUAUAUGAGCACAAACGGUUUUUAGUUAU
rnacentral:lncRNA from 1 species